rnacentral:rRNA from 1 species
GGGAACCCCUAUCGGGUUCAGACUAAGCCAUGCGAGUCGGCUGGGGGCACUUGCCCCUGGCGGCGCACGGCUCAGUAAUACGCGGUCAACCUACCCUGGGGACCGGGAUAACCUCGGGAAACUGAGGCUAAUCCCGGAUGGGUGUAGGGUGCUGAAAUGCCCCUACGCCGAGAGUAGGCGGGAAAUGGACCGCUGAGGCCCCAGGAUGGGACCGCGGCCUAUCAGGUAGUAGGUGGGGUGACGGCCCACCUAGCCUACGACGGGUACGGGCCCUGAGAGGGGGAGCCCGGAGAUGGGCACUGAGACAAGGGUCUAGGCCCUAAGGGGCGCAGCAGGCGCGAAGAUUCCGCAAUGCCCGAAAGGGCGACGGAGUGAACCCGAGUGCCGCCCGCUGAGGGUGGCUGUUCCCCUGUGUAAAAAGCAGGGGGUAGGAAGGGGAGGGCAAGGCUGGUGGCAGCCGCCGCGGUAAAACCAGCUCCCCGAGGGGUUCCCACGCAUACUGGGCCUAAAGCGUCCGUAGCCGGCCCUGUAAGUCCGCAGUUAAAUCCGCCUGUAGACAGGCGGGCUGCUGCGGAUACUGCAGGGCUAGGGAGCGGGAGGAGCCGGGGGUAUUCCCGGGGGAGCGGUAAAAUGCGUAGAUCCCGGGAGGACCACCAGUGGCGAAGGCGCCCGGCUUGAACGCGUCCGACGGUGAGGGACGAAAGCUGGGGGAGCAAACCGGAUUAGAUACCCGGGUAGUCCCAGCCGUAAACGAUGCCGGCUAGGUGCUGGCCAAGGUUUCGACCUUGGCCAGUGUCGAAGCGAAGGCAUUAAGCCGGCCGCCUGAGGAGUACGGCCGCAAGGCUGAAACUUGAAGGAAUUGACGGGGGGGCACCACAAGGGGUGAAUGCCUGCGGCUUAAUUGGACUCAACGCCGGGAAUCUUACCGGGGGCGACAGCAGGAUGAAGGUCAGGCUGAAGACCUUACCAGACGCGCUGAGGGGUGGUGCAUGGCCGUCGCCAGCUCGUGCCGUGAGGUGUCCUGUUAAGUCAGGCAACGAGCGAGACCCCCGCCCCUAGUUGCCAGCGGCCUCCUUCGGGAGGGACCGGGCAAACUAGGGGGACCGCCUCCGAAGAGGAGGAGGAAGGUGGGGGCUACGGCAGGUCAGUAUGCCCCUAAUCCCCCGGGCCGCACGCGGGCU